rnacentral:rRNA from 1 species
UACAGGGGUGCUAGCGUUGUUCGGAAUUACUGGGCGUAAAGGGCGCGUAGGCGGCUUCGUAAGUCAGAUGUGAAAUCCCGGGGCUUAACUCCGGACGUGCAUUUGAAACUGCGAGGCUAGAGUGCAGUAGAGGAUGGUGGAAUUCCCAGUGUAGAGGUGAAAUUCGUAGAUAUUGGGAGGAACACCGGUGGCGAAGGCGGCCAUCUGGGCUGCAACUGACGCUGAGGCGCAAAAGCGUGGGGAUCGAAACAGG